rfam:Hordeum vulgare subsp. vulgare, WGS project CAJW01000000 data, contig: morex_contig_40809
GCCCUCUCUGAUGUGGAGAUCACAUCCAAGAUCCUCGCCGGCCUCGAUUGGAAUAUAAUCCAGUCAUGUCGAUGCUCGCGGCUUGGGUGGAGCCUAUCACGGUUCAGGAGAUCUACAGUCAGCUUCUGAGUUUUGAUG